GUACACCACACCCAGAAGAUAUGUAGGUUACAUGGGGUUGGGGUAGGAUGUAGAGUGCAGGAGUGGGGGUGGAGUCUGGGUGGGAGGUGGGGUGUGGGAAUGCAGGGUCUGGGCAGGAGAUAGGGUUUGGGAGGUAUGGGGAGCUACAGUCCCUGACAUGGAGUUUCUAUGCCCUGGAGAUGCUGACACCUUCCCAUGUCCUCUUCAUUCCUGGUAACCUGAAGGGGAUACACCGGAUUUUGACUAGAUUUUCCAGUUAAGAAUGAGGCACCUGGCAACUUUAAAGUGCAUCCACCUUCUUCGGGCAGCCAGAUACACAGGAUUCCCAACCUGCUGCUCCCCCCACUUCCCUUCAUCCUGCAACUGCGGAUACUGGGCUGCCAACCAUAAUGAUAUUGAGAUGCUGGCCACAUCAUACCCAACAGGAGAAGCAGUAGAGAAAAAAAUCUAGAGACAUCCAUAAUUAAGGAUCUGCAGUCUGUGGAGACUAAGUGCACAAGUCGACAUAGCGCACAUCACUGAGCACACACACAAGCAGCCUUCUGCUUAUCAUCAUCAACGGAGCCAGAAACCUGCGAGGACACCUCAGCAGUAAAUCCCGACUACCCUCGCUGAAAUAACUACACCUGCAACUAAACUGAAGUAAUUUUGUGACCUGCAUGAAAUGUUCACAUUCUCCAGAAUCUAAACUUUCAUUUAAAAAAAAGUUUCUAGUCCUUAUGGCUGCAGCACUAACCUUCCAAAGAUGAACAGAAUUUAACCAAUACAGCCAUGUCUCCUUCAGUAUUCAUACAGCUUGAAAGACUCACUCCCCAGACCUGUAUUAAUCUGAUUAAAGAAUGUGCUCUAAAUCCCAAUGAUACCUGCCAUUGUCAACACUGAGUAAUUAAUCCCCAGUUUGUUAUUGUUUGGGAUGAGAGUUAAGGAGGAAGUGGAACCCACUGAAACAGGAAAUGGGUGCAGUAACAGGGAAGGAAAUGAAGAGGAAAACACAAAGCAGCUCACAGAGACAGGGAAGGUGGGGAGAAACAGAGCAGGGAGAAGAGAAGGAGGAGACACAAGGUGCAGAAAUAGCAGAGGCCCAGCCAGAUGCAGAUUUCCUUCCUCAAUGCCAAAUGUGACAAUAAGGCUCUGAACAAAUAAUAAUCACUGAAUAUUUAUUUACUUUGUAAAGGCCACUUUCGUCCUUUGAUCUCUGUACAAACCUCCCACUGCUCUCAGGGGACAUUCCACUGUAUGUUGUGUGUGUGUGUGGGCAGUGGGAAUGGAGGGGGGUAGUUAUGAACUAUAGCUUGGACCAGUGCUUUUCAACCUUUUUUAUAAAGUACCCAUUAAAAAAAAGAAUUAUAAGUAGUUUUCAGACACAUUUUUUUCUACCAU